CUUGAUAUUAAUAUCUUUGGGAACUGGAUUCUGGAAUCAUUAGUAUAUUUUGUAAAGCGUCUUUUUUGAAGCCACCUGUGGCAUGUGUAUGUUAUAUGUAAUACAUGCAAUACACAUACACAUACACAUAUAAUUAUUUCAAAGCCUAUUUUAGAACUUAUUUUAUAAAUCGUGUACAUAGAUAAAAACACUAAAGAUUGCUUUUUAUUUAUUAUAAACAUUGAUAAUGUGGCAUAGCUGUGGCUUUGAUUUACUCAUGGCACACAUGCUGAUUUAAGAAAAGAUGAAUUACUCAAUUUUCAUUUCAGGAUAAAGGCCUCUUCUUGCAGUUGGUAUAAUAAGGAUAUUCUUUACUGUCUAUGCCACCAUCUCAUCAUUAAAGUUUUGGUUCUGAGUAUUAUGCCUGUGGCUCUGUAUGAGUUGUAUAGCUAGGUUGCUUUGCUGUUGUUGAGCUUUUUUGGCUUAGUUUUAAGAGACAUUUUGGUGUGACUCAUGAUUCUUACUUGAUAGUGAUUUUGUGAUGUUAUAUAAUCAGGAAUACAUGCAGUACUGAUUUCUAGGGAAAAUAACUUUCAGAGCAUUGAGGUGUUUAAUUCUUGCCACUGACCAACAUGUAAGAUGUUUGUUUCAUUUGAGAAAACAGAUAUUUCAUAGACAUUCAUUCACUUGUGACUUUAACAUGCUAAUUUGUGGCAGAGUUAUGGGAAACAUUUAUUAAGUACCUCCUCAUUAUAGGCCAAGAUGUGUCCAGUUCUUUGCAUAUAUUCUCAUUUAAUUUUUGCUGUAAUCCCAAUACAAACUCAAUAUUAUCCUUAUUUUAUAGGUAGGAAAACUAAUGCUUAGUGAUUGUUGUUGUGAGUUGUUAAUCAAGCGGAGGCACAGCCAGGACUGAAUCACUGUUUUUGAUUUCAGAGAUGUUUCACGUUUCCUUUGCAAUAUAUUGUACCAGCUGGGUUUUAGGGGAGAAAAUCUGCACACUAGGAAGUAAAUCCUGUGGAGUGAAUGAAGCUCUGUCU
rnacentral:lncRNA from 1 species